AGCAGUGCUUAAGCACUUGGCUGCUAACCAAAAGGUUGGUGGUUCGAAUCCACCAGUUGCUU
rnacentral:tRNA from 1 species